AUUGAAGUAAAUGAGCAAAGAACUGGGGUUUGAGAGUUGAAAUCAAACCCCAGUUCUUUGCUCACACAUUUCUCUCC